AUUGAACGCUGGCGGCAUGCCUUACACAUGCAAGUCGAACGGUAACAGGUCUUCGGAUGCUGACGAGUGGCGAACGGGUGAGUAAUACAUCGGAACGUGCCUAGUAGUGGGGGAUAACUACUCGAAAGAGUGGCUAAUACCGCAUGAGAUCUACGGAUGGAAGCAGGGGAUCGUAAGACCUUGUGCUACUAGAGCGGCCGAUGGCAGAUUAGGUAGUUGGUGGGAUAAAAGCUUACCAAGCCGACGAUCUGUAGCUGGUCUGAGAGGACGAUCAGCCACACUGGGACUGAGACACGGCCCAGACUCCUACGGGAGGCAGCAGUGGGGAAUUUUGGACAAUGGGCGCAAGCCUGAUCCAGCAAUGCCGCGUGCAGGAUGAAGGCCUUCGGGUUGUAAACUGCUUUUGUACGGAACGAAAAGCCCUGGGUUAAUACCCUGGGGUCAUGACGGUACCGUAAGAAUAAACACCGGCUAACUACGUGCCAGCAGCCGCAGUAACAC
rnacentral:rRNA from 1 species